GAUGAAGAACGCAGCGAAAUGCGAUAAGUAAUGCGAAUUGCAGAAUUUCCGUGAGUCAUCGAAUCUUUGAACGCACAUUGCGCCCACUGGUAUUCCGGUGGGCAUGCCUGUUCGAGCGUCAUUAUCCUCCCUCAAACCUCGGGUUUGGUGUUGGGCCCGCGUCGGUCGUCCGCGACCGACUGGCCCCAAAGACAAUGACGGCGUCCGUGGGACCCUCGGUGCAACGAGCUUUUCGGAGCACGCGUCGAGUAUCAAGGACCUUCCGGGCCGGUCUAACCUCCAAUUUAUCACAAGGUUGACCUCGGAUCAGGUAGGAAUACCCGCUGAACUUAAGAAUAUCAAUAAGCGGAGGA
rnacentral:misc_RNA from 1 species